rnacentral:rRNA from 1 species
CGGUAAUUCCAGCUCCAAUAGCGUAUACUAAAGUUGUUGCAGUUAAAAAGCUCGUAGUUGGAUUUCUGCGGGGACGGAGCGGCCGGACGCAACUUGCGUCUCGAGCUAGCGCUUUCCCCGCAUCCUGCCGCGAACCGUGCUACCAUUAGCUUGGUGGCGCUGGGGAUCGGCUCGAUUACUUUGAGAAAAAUAGAGUGUUCAAAGCAGGCCACACGCCUUGAAUAAGUUAGCAUGGAAUAAUGACUAAGGACUUUGGUUCUUUUCGUUGGUGUUCAGGACUGAAGUAAUGAUUGAUAGGGACAGUUGGGGCGGUCUGUAUUCCAAAGCGAGAGGUGAAAUUCUUAGACCUUCAGAAGACAAACAGCUGCGAAAGCGUUCCGCAAGGAUGUUCCCUUUGAUCAAGAACGAAAGUUGGGGGAUCGAAGACGAUCAGAUACCGUCGUAGUCUCAACUAUAAACUAUACCAGCUAGGGAUCGGCCAACGUUUAAUUAUUCGACUUGGUCGGCACCUUAUGGGAAAUCAAAGCAUCUGGGUUCCGGGGGGAGUAUGGUCGCAAGGCUGAAACUUAAAGGAAUUGACGGAAGGGCACCACCAGGCGUGGAGCCUGUGGCUUAAUUUGACUCAACACGGGAAAACUUACCAGGUCCAGACAUAGGAAGGAUUGACAGAUUGGUAGCUCUUUCUUGAUUCUGUGGGUGGUGGUGCAUGGCCGUUUUUAGUCGGUGAAGUGAUUUGUCUGCUUAAUUGCGUUAACGGACGAGACCCCAGCCUGCUAAAUAGCGCGGCCGAGCUUUGCUCGGUGCGAGCUUCUUAGAGGGACCAUGAUGCGCGAUAGCACAAGGAAGUUUGGGGCAACAACAGGUCUGUGAUGCCCUUAGAUGUUCUGGGCCGCACACGGGCUACACUGGCGUCUGCAACGAGCAUAUCAGCUGGCCCGAGAGGGUCUUGGCUAAUCUUUGGAACCGGCGCCGUGCUUGGGAUUGACCAUUGCAAUUGUUGGUCGUGCAACGAGGAAUGCCUUGUAAACGCGAGUCAUCAGCUCGCAUUGAAUACGUCCCUGCCCUUUGUACACACCGCCCGUCGCUCCUACCGAUGAAUGUUCCGAUGAAAUUUUCGGAGAGCGCCGGAGAACGGGGCUCUGCCCUGCAGAACUGGAGGCUCAAAGUCACUUAAAUCUGAACAUUUCGAGGAAGGAGAAGUCGUAACAAGGUAACC